ensembl:lncRNA
CGCAACACUGGGAGCUAAAAAGUGUCAAAAUUCUUUAGUUUGUAAUUAAGUAAAAAGUGUGGCUGCUCUACCAGGUGUAACAAUAAAGUUUAAGAUCCAGACAUCCACGAAAAACAGGAUUUAUGAAGUUUAAUGGAGUUAGAGUGAAAGUUAAUGUGAGGGACACCGAUGGGCAAAGACAAAUGCAAUCAUACGGCAGGAAAAAGAUGCUGAAAACGGACCAAACUUCAGUCAGCAGAACGCCUAUGAUGAUCCAUCCCCAGCACGAGGUCCGUGGCAUCAGCUUGACAGCGGUCCUCACCAAGGCGCUCGCUGAGAGCAACAUUGUUGCUGCAACUUGAGGACACCGACCAGUCACAGCAUGUCGCUCCCCUGCGGAACAAAGUGUGACAGUCAGCGAACUACCGAGCACUCAUAUUCACAGAGACACUCUGAAGUAACUUAUUAUCACUUACCAAGGUUAACAGUCUCUCCUCCAGCAGUUAUAUGUACCCUGAAUGACAGCUACGCCUAGCUAGCUCACUAUUCUCACAUCUGCUAGCCACGCUCGUUUGUAGAUCAGGAGAAUUACUGCCCUGAGUUUGGUUUCCCAGGUAGAAAAGCGGAACCCUCUCCCUUUACUACUUGUUAAACCGAACCUGCAAUGGACUACAAGUGAGCUUUUAUUUUACUUAUCUGUACACUCAGUAAAAUGGAGGCCAUCGAGCCAAAAGGAAUCAAAUAACUAGUUAAACAAUUAAUUAAAUGUAAUUCAUUAAAAUUCUUAACAAAUAAAUUAUUAAAUGUUUUAAAUGACAUUAUUGAUAUUUAAAUUAAUUAUGUAUAGAUUUAUUUAAUGUAUUAUUUCAUAUUUUAAUUAAUUAUCACAUUUUAUUAUUUACUGAAUGAUGUAUUUAUUUGAUUCAUUGAGGCACUGUAUGUCCUCCAUAAAAUACACCAUCAGCUUGUCUGCUUGUCCUGCUGCUUUUAAAAUCAAGUCACAAACAUUGCUCUCUGAUAAAAAAUCUAAAUACGUCUAUAAAUAAGUUUUAAUAAAUGGAAUGAAUUUUAUUUUUAAUGUGUUUAACAGUAUUUCUGGCAGUGGGAUGCAUGUAGGUUUGUUUCAGAAUAAACUACUAAACUAGAAACCAGCACAUCACUGUCACUCUAUUAUUUAGUAUGAUUUUAACUUACAACAAGAAAAAAAAAAUGCAGAAUAUUACAGGAGCUUCUUUCUAGCAUUUCUACUACAUGGUAGAAACAACAAAUAUAUGUAUAUUUAUUAGCAAUUUAAACUAUGAAAUUCAGCGUAUAUGAUUAGAAAAUGAAAGUGCCUAAACCGUCAGGCGCGUUACUGCCUGGGAGGCUAGACUCCGGGAAAACUGGUCCAAACCAAUGAUGAGGUAACACGCUGCCUGUGCAUUUUAACCCUGAACGUGACAUUUCAGGGAAUAACGAGACAAGGUUCAAGGUGGGAUGGGAUUGUAUGAUUUUAUUGCCUAUUUUUGCACUUAAUUUUCGUAUUUAUGUUCCUCUUCUUGUAUACAGCGCGUUGUGACUGUUUGCCUGUUAACGUGCUUAAUAAAUAAACUUUGCUUAUUCA